GAUGAACGCUGGCGGCGUGCCUAACACAUGCAAGUCGAACGGAGUUAUGAUGUGAGCGGGAAGUGCUUGCACUAAACAAUCUUUUCAUAACUUAGUGGCGGACGGGUGAGUAACGCGUGGGUAACCUGCCCUGUACUGGGGGACAACAGUUGGAAACGACUGCUAAUACCGCAUAAGCCCACGGCUCGGCAUCGAGCAGAGGGAAAAGGAGUGAUCCGCUUUGAGAUGGCCUCGCGUCCGAUUAGCUAGUUGGUGAGGUAACGGCCCACCAAGGCGACGAUCGGUAGCCGGACUGAGAGGUUGAACGGCCACAUUGGGACUGAGACACGGCCCAGACUCCUACGGGAGGCAGCAGUGGGGAAUAUUGCACAAUGGGGGGAACCCUGAUGCAGCGACGCCGCGUGGAGGAAGAAGGUCUUCGGAUUGUAAACUCCUGUUGUUGAGGAAGAUAAUGACGGUACUCAACAAGGAAGUGACGGCUAACUACGUGCC
rnacentral:rRNA from 1 species